rnacentral:lncRNA from 10 species
GUUCUUCCCCAGGUCUGCGAGCCUCGAAGGCUUCUUUCAGACAGCAGACCCCUUAGAAGCGCAAGGCUGCUUUCUGACAAAGAAUCAAGUGUUCCUUUCAACCAGCCAAGGGACUGGUUUUCUCGCUGACCCUUUGACAGCUCCAGCCGGUCCCUCCAUUCGAGGUCCCUGACUUCCUGCAACAGACUGAGAUGGCCUUCUGAGCUUUUCCAGGGCUGACGACCACCUUCUUGAUACCUUCCCCUCUCUCGUUCUGAAUCCGUGCCCACCAGACGGACUCUGGCUCUUGUUGCCCAGACUGGGGUGCAAUGGCGCAAUCUUGGCUCACCAUAACCUCCGCCUCCUGGGUUCAAGCGAUUCUCCUGCGUCAGCCUCCCAAGUAGG